CAGAACUGAUUUAGUGUAUGUCUUGGACAUUGUGAAGCAUGAUGCUUCCACUUUCCUUUCAAUCAGUCUAGCAAUACCUAAUGCCUAAUAAUGCUGCAUGGAUAAAUAUCUUCUCAUAUGAGAGCAGUUGCUGCCAAAAGUGAUUUUUCUCACCAUUUAAGUAUUUGAAUCCAAUAAGUGAAAAUGAGCUUGUUUCCUUACCGAGCCUAGAAUCUGGCCUGGGUGUAGACACAUUUUUUCAGGCCCUUAAACCCGGUUUACAUCUGGUCAAUUCACCCAUCUUGAAUAUCAGGAUUAAAUCUGGAUAUCGGCAAGCCGCAUUAACAUGUAAGUGUAAACGUACCCAAGACCCGUUUAAAACAGGUACAAAUCCAAUCACUCAAACAAUCCACUUCCCUUCAGCUGGUCUAAACUCAACCAGACCCUUCUCAGUACAACUGAAAGAACAACUGUACGUACAACCAGUGGUUAUUGCUCAAAUGCAUCUGGCUAAAAUGAUCUCAUCAGGAUACAAUCCAGAUUCUUAUCCAGAUUCGUUUCAUACAGUGACCAGUGUAAACGUAGUCACAGAUGCAUAAAGUAUAAAGAUCUUAUACUUUUGUCACUUGAAAUGCAGUAAUCCUUCUAAACUUCUUUAGUGUUCAUUGGCUUGGGUAAUCUAGUCUAUUGUAUUUUGAUCUGUCAACUUUCUGUGAACAUGACAGAGUCACAAAACGUAAAAAAAGGUUCAGAAAUCUGCUACUUUUGACUGGUACUGUUGAUGCUCUUUGUAAUAGACAGCCAUGUCUUUGGAUUAUUUUGCACUUGAGCCAAGUUGAUAAAAGGAGAGCCAUUUGGUAAUUAAUUGUAAAUGUCUCCUAGUAAACUGCAAAGAGGAAUCCCUGCCCCCCCAUUCUGUGAAAACCUGUCUACAUGCUUUUCCAGCAUUCCAAGCCACAUCCAAUGUCCCCUGCCCAGAUGCCACCCUUCAUCUGUGGGACUGGACUCGUCUAUCAGGCUUCUAAGGAGUAUUAAGGAUAUCCUACAGCAGGUUCAUGUCACGAGCACAGAAGAAGCAGAGCAGGAGGCUCUGUGUUCAGUGUGUGGAGAUGCAUCCGAAGAUCCAGGUCCUGAAAACAUGUAGCAUCUUAUAAGAGAAACCAAAGUGCUCAGGCGUGGAACAUGGACACGCUUACUCACAGAAUGGAGUAGAAAAGCUCAACCACAGACUCUCCUUGCUAAAUCCCAUGGUUUUGUGAGUUUAAUGGAUUAAUCUCACACCAGAGACCCACCAAACAGUGCUGAUCGUCACUGUAUCUAAUAGAUGUUUCAACUACGCUGAUAUCAGCUUCUCAAGCACUGUGGAAAAACAACAGUAUCCAAACGUACCUUUUAUUUUUCACAUUUGAAACUGGGAACUCCUAUGGGGUAAACUUUUGGAAUGUGUAAAUAAUAAUCCAGUUUGAGGAGAUCAUUGAGAUCAUGUUUGGUGUCAUGCAUGAUGAAUAAACGGUCUGCUAUAAAAAAAAAAAAAACUCA
rnacentral:lncRNA from 1 species